rnacentral:rRNA from 1 species
AGGACGAACGCUGGCGGCGUGCUUAACACAUGCAAGUCGAGCGGAAAGGCCCUUCGGGGUACUCGAGCGGCGAACGGGUGAGUAACACGUGAGUAAUCUGCCCCUAGCUCUGGGAUAGCUCCGGGAAACCGGGAUUAAUACCAGAUACGACCACUUUAGACAUCUUCUGUGGUGGAAAGAACUUCGGCUAGGGAUGAACUCGCGGCCUAUCAGCUUGUUGGUGAGGUAACGGCUCACCAAGGCGACGACGGGUAGCCGGCCUGAGAGGGCGACCGGCCACACUGGGACUGAGACACGGCCCAGACUCCUACGGGAGGCAGCAGUGGGGAAUAUUGCGCAAUGGGCGAAAGCCUGACGCAGCGACGCCGCGUGGGGGAUGAAGGCCUUCGGGUUGUAAACCCUUUCAGCAGGGACGAAGCGAAAGUGACGGUACCUGCAGAAGAAGCGCGGCUAACUACGUGCCAGCAGCCGC